rnacentral:tRNA from 1 species
ACAUUGUUGGUUCAUUGGUAGAAUUCCUGCCUCCCAUGUGGGAGACCCGGGGUUGAUUCCUGGACAAUGCU